rnacentral:rRNA from 1 species
GAUGAACGCUGGCGGCGUGCUUAACACAUGCAAGUCGAACGGUGAAGCAGGAGCUUGCUCUUGUGGAUCAGUGGCGAACGGGUGAGUAACACGUGAGCAACCUGCCCCUGACUCUGGGAUAAGCGCUGGAAACGGCGUCUAAUACUGGAUAUGUGAUGUGACCGCAUGGUCUGCAUCUGGAAAGAAUUUCGGUUGGGGAUGGGCUCGCGGCCUAUCAGCUUGUUGGUGAGGUAAUGGCUCACCAAGGCGUCGACGGGUAGCCGGCCUGAGAGGGUGACCGGCCAAACGGGGACUGAGACACGGCCCAGAGUCCUACGGGGGGCAGCAGUGGGGAAUAUUGAGCAAUGGGCGGAAGCCUGAUGCAGCAACGCCGCGUGGGGGAUGACGGCCUUCGGGUUGUAAACUUCUUUUAGCAGGGAAGAAGCGAAAGUGACGGUACCUGCAGAAAAAGCACCGGCUAACUACGUGCCAGCCGCCGCAGUAA